GGGGGUUUAGCUCACUUGGCUAGAGCGCGACGCUGGCAGCGUCGAGGUAAUCGGUUCGAUUCCGAUAACCUCCACCA
rnacentral:tRNA from 1 species